CGCAAGCCUGACGGAGCAAGACCGCGUGGGGGAGGAAGGCUCUUGGGUUGUAAACCCCUUUUCUCAGGGAAGAACAAAUGACGGUACCUGAGGAAUCAGCCUCGGCUAACUCCGUGCCAGCAGCCGCGGUAAUACGGAGGAGGCAAGCGUUAUCCGGAUUUAUUGGGCGUAAAGCGUUCGCAGGUGGUUCUUCAAGUCUGCUGUCAAAGCACGGGGCUUAACUCCGUAAAGGCAGUGGAAACUGAAUAGCGAGAGUGCCGUAGGGGUAGAGGGAAUUCCCGGUGUAGCGGUGAAAUGCGUAGAGAUCGGGAAGAACAUCGGUGGCGAAAGCGCUCUACUGGACGGCAACUGACACUCAGGGACGAAAGCUAGGGGAGCG
rnacentral:rRNA from 1 species